UAUGAAAUUAUGUCCCAGUGGCAUAUUUUGUGCGCUUUCAGGCAAAUUAUAUUUUAUUUUAUUGUAUUUUCUUUUAUUUUAUUUCACAUUGUUGAGCAAUUUUUUUAUUACAACGCGUAAAUUCGAUUAACUUACACCAGGCAUACAUUCAUUCAAUUGUUGCUAAGGGCUGCCUGAAAGCCAACUGUAAAGCGAAUUUAAAAAACACGAGAGAAAAAAAAAACAACUCACGGCACGCAUAAUCGAAAUGUAUUUUGGCUUUUUAUUGCGCCAGCCAAAGCCAAGGGUUUGUGGUUGUCCUGUUCUGUUCUUACCGGUUACUGAGUUUUUGAAGGGGGACUUUUUUGUGGGGUGGAGGGGCGAUAACAACAUUUUAACGCCUUAUAGUCCAUUUAGGUAAAAGUGCCAUUUGCGUUGUGGGCUUAACAAGAAAUUAUGACCUCUGGGCAGCCCAGCCACAGGCUUCAAACCCAAAAGAAAGUACAUAAAAAAGUGGGGAAAGCCACCAAAAAAAAAUAAAGCGAGCGAAGAAAAACAAAUGCCAAAAGCUGAAUUCGCGGAGUCAAGUUGGCACAAACAUUUGCAUCACGACUCAAGUAAAACUAUUUGUAAAAAUACAAAAAAAAAAACGGUAUGAAUAAUUUUGAGAAACACAUUUUGAUCAUCCUAAUAACAUGUGCUUACAUGAUAUUUUUACUAUUUGUCAUCAAUAUAGCUAGAAUCAUUUAUCGAAGAAUGCAUUAAAUUAAUUUUUACAAAAUUUGAAGUAUCAAAAUUCGUUUGUAAUUUUAACAACAUGUUCAAAAUCGAAAAUGCCUUUGAAAAAUAGUUCGCCAAUUGUGAUAUCUCUGUUAGCUCUUGUGAUAAUCGAUAGUGCGUUUAGCCAUUGCAUCGAGUCAAUGCUGUUUACAUCCAGCAAGGAAGCAAUUUCAGAGAAAAGCCAGUCAACAAAAUGUUUGGAUUGAAAUCAAAGGAAACGUAAAGACAACCAUGCAGAAAAUUAAAUAAGUACUAUUUAUAAAUAUCAUCGACAGUGUAUGAAA